UUCGCAUUGAUUACAGCAUGUCGCAUUGCAGGGUGCUACGCAUUGCUCAACGCUUCAUAGCCACCAUGCUAACAUCGGCGCUCUACUUUUUUCAACGAGCCUUAGAAUCUGGGAGCCGAGACCAUGGCAGGGUGCAUUUCCUUUCCGAGCCCCAGGUAACUGGGCAUGGAGGGGGAUCUUGUUUGAUAUUGACGCUCCGGGCUCAAAAAAUUCAAGUCUUAAUCUCACAUCGACUCUCUGAACCAGCCUGCUCCACCGUCGGCCGCAGCCCCAUCGUCAGCCAUGUUUGUUUUUGCUGCUGCUGUACUAUCAAAGGCUAACUGCUUUACAGCACCUCCUGGUGCUGCCUGGGAGGAAACUUCUCUGUUUGCUGUAAAGAAUCUGGCCUACAUAUUUUGACGGGAUGGAUCCGCGGCGGCAGAGUGGACCACCACCAUCUACAAUCAUAGCGCUACCAACAUGUCAACACUCCAGUUUAACCAGAACUUUAGUCAAGCUUUAAGGCUCUGCCUGUGUCGGAACGCCUUGACAUCGUAUGGAUGUGCCCCACGUCUCUCAGCAAAGAAAAAAGAAGAAAAAGCCAGCCCCCUGUUGGUCUGCGUGAUGUAGCCAAGGACAGAGUGGGUUUCUGGAGGUGGGUGCUGCAUUGUGGGGGCGUUGGGUUGAGGUGCCGGAGAGCUGAUCGAUCCACAGCGGCAGGUGGCCGAGCAGAAGAGGGCUCCCGAAACCUGUCCUGACUACAAAGCAAACGGCACGCAAUCUGCAAACAGAAAAGCAUGUGAAGAGAGGGCUGUCUGAUAACAGGACACACAUUUGAAGAAACAACAACCAUCAGAGCGGACGUGCACAAACUUACAACAUUCAGUCAACAACAGCACAGACGGUGCAUGUUAUUCAUAUGGUUGCUUAAGUGUUUCUUUCUCUUUGAGGAAGUUCCACCUAUUGUCCUGAAAUAUAAAUCACACAUGUCAUUAAGGUGGCUUUUUUUUUUUAAACAAUGGUGUCUGUUCUCGAAUGCAGAAGACAGUGGGAGGCUUUCUGUGCCACCCCCGACUCUCUUGCAUCUUGUCGAUGGCUCCACUAAUCGCCAUGACUGACUGACCUUUAGGCCGGUCCCCUUCUGGGAUUUACACCUUUCACUGGCUCGACCUUUGCCAUCCAACCCUCCUACAGACACUCUCGUCACGUGAGCUCAGCAUCAGCGCUGGACAAGACCUGCUGCUGGCCAAUGUGUAGGCUGCUGCUGCCUCAGCAAGUCAAAACCUCUCUAGGUGGUAUGAUUCAGCCGGUGCUUCAUUAACCCACCCCCCAACCUCAACCAACUCAUCUACCCCCCACCUGCAUCAAGAAAGUUUCCCCUAUGGCCUGGAGCAAGGUAGACCUGCUUAAAGCUCAGCCUAAUGACGUGUGCCAUGGUGGAGGAGACCAAAUGCCACCACCACAUAUGGGGAUGAUUACAGGAAGUAGUGCAGAAUUGUAGGGGGACCUCAAGAUUUUGAGGGGUGGGUGUUGGGGACUCAAUUGUGGCACUGUGGCUGUGAAUUCCCAGAGGCCUUUGUGUGGGGAAACUCAGCAAAAGCUUCAUCCUGCCCAGGUCACGCAAAUUUAGGAAAAAAGGCUGAGCUUCUGGGGGUAGCGUUCUUUUUAUUCCUUAAACACCCAUGAUGCAUUGCCUUUGCAGAUUUAAU